rnacentral:lncRNA from 1 species
UUUUAAAAUAAUUGAUCAAGUAGCUUAAGCAAUUAAACUGAUGUUCUCUACUAUCUCGCAGCAACUUUAACGUUUAAUUGACUCCCGCGGAUAUCUUUUACUUGAACAGAGUCACAAUUAUGACAGAAAAUAGAUAACAUGUGUGAAUUUUCUAUGUGUCUAGACAUUAUUACCUAUGUAACUACAUCAAAUAAUAAUAAUUGUAUAAAUACACCAAACAAGAAAUUGAAUAAACACUAAUUUCUCAGACGGAACAAUAAGUAAUAAUAAUAAUGUAAUCUCAAUAAUAAAACAGAAAACAAGUUGAACAUAAUUAUAACGUUGUACGGCAUUCUCUAUGGAAACAAACAAGUUGGUUUUAUUUAACCUCAUGAUUCGGGACUUAAAACAAUUAGAAAUUAGAAGUAAAUGAAAGUUAAAAAUUAGGAGCUCUGUUGCCCUGUUCAUGAUAUUCUCCCAUUGUGCAACACCUAAUUAGUAUUAAAUUACUUAUAAAAAGAAAUUAUCACUCUUAAAUGUCAAAAGUAUGAAUAAAUGGGCAAUUAGAGUGAACGUUGAUAUUAGUGCGUAUGUUGUCACAAGACAAUAUAUAAUUUCAAUAGAAAUACAUUAACCCAGAUCUCAUGAAAAGAACUUCAGAUUUAUAAUAAACACUUUAAUAAAUAACGAUUAUUCGUUGAAUCUCAUCUUUAGUACAAUCAAUAAUAGAAUUAGAUUCCUGUUACAUGGGAAAACAAAUAAAAUAAGUAACAAAGAGAAUGAAAUUGUGGAGAAGCAAUCAUGGUUCAAGAUACCGUAUGUAGAUAUGAUCUCUGAUAAAUUAAAAAAUGUUGUUAGAGAUGUAAAUGUGAGAAUGGCAUAUUCGAGUCUUAAUAAAUUGCAAAGAUUUGUAAAAGUUCAUAAGGAUGCGCUCCCGGUCAGUUCUAACAAAGAUGUAGUCUACAGGAUUACAUGCAAGGACUGUGAUGCGACUUAUGUUGGACAAACUUCAAGACAGCUUAAAACGAGAACAUCGGAACAUAUAUCACAUUCGAAGAAAUACUAAUACACAUUGUGUCAUCACGGAACAUAGGCUGAAUCUUAACCAUGAAUUUGAUUGGGAAAAUGUCCAUAUUUUAGACAAAGAAAAAUUUUUAUCGAAGAGAUUGGUGUCAGAAAUGAUUCACAUUAAAUUACAGAAUAACAGCCUCAAUUUGCAGGCGGACACGAAAUUCUUGCACCAUGCUUAUGUUUCCGUUCUGAAUAAAUUGUAAAACAAGUUUGGUAAAGAAAUAUUAAACUAAACACUUGUCAUUCUGUUUUGGAAUUGAAUUUGUUUCGUGAUGUCUACCGUGUUUGCGUGCGUGACCUAGACAUAGGUAUGGUUUGGCAAAUAUUGACUCAGUACAUUCUAAGACGUCGUUCCGUGAGCUGGCAGAUUUCUUAAAAAUGAGACAGACAUUUGAUUAAUUGGUUAAGUCAGUGAUGGAACAUUGUAUCGAUGGAGAUGUUUUUUGUACUCAUUAUGUUGUAAUUCUUCGUUCUUUCGACUUAUGGGUGAGUGUUUAAAUUAAAUUGUUCUUUAAGCAGUUAAUUUAUCUGGUUUGGAUCACAUUACAGAUAGUGGUCAAGGUUGACUAUGACAAGGCUUGUUGAUUAAGGAAUUUCCAAGCUGUCACCAUAAGUACGGAGGAAUGUGAGAAUAUUUUGGUUUUAUAUUGCUAAAGAUGGCUACGAAUUUGAGCCAAAACGUACUUUAAUGUAUUUCUAUUGAAAUUAUAUAUUGUCUUGUGACAACAUACGCACUAAAUCAGCAUUAACUCUAAUUGCCCAUUUUUUCAUACUUUUAAAUUACUUAUUUUCAUAUUAUUAAACUGGACUUUGCUUACAAGUUGUGGUUUUCCUUAUGGUUAUAUAUUUAAUUAACCUACAUGUUUAUAUAUUUAAUUAUACUUAUUAUAUAUUAUAUGAUAAUAAUAACUUAAUAAUAACUUGAGUGCGCGCACAGGAGCAUGGAAGAAGUCAUUCAAUAUUUUCUUACAUGAACAGGAAAAAUAGCGGACAGUGUCAUAUCAGUGUUUCUAAGAAGCUAAUAAACAGCCAGGAUGGACAGGACGAAACAAUUUAAAAAGCCACUCAAGUGCUAUCCACGGAAUCAAUUGCACAGGGCCUGAGUAAGAACGUCCGCACUGGAAUUGAAAGAUGCUGCGUACAUACAAUAUCGCGCCUUGCAUUAUACAUAGAAGAUGCUGCUAGUCGUGCAAUUAAGCCACAACUGGCCUCCUUCAAUUACGACUUAUCUUGGAAAGUUAGAAUGUAGCUAUAACAUUAAACACUAUAAAUACAAAGAAACAGGCAAUACAACAAAGUCAAAUCAUCCAUAUUUAUAUCAACAUCACUCGCAGAUUAAUAACAGUAUAAUGGUACGAUCAAAAAGUGAAAGAAGUGACCAGAUCAGGGUUGUGACAACGAUAAUGCUACCUCCAGCUGCGGACAUGGCGCAAGGGAGACAGAAUGUCCAACAACAUAUUACUAAUGCGGUACGUUAUUUCGAAAAAACGUUCGAAAGAGCAUACCGGAGGAGAUACGCCAACGUAUACGUGCAACCAGCAACUGCGUGUAUGUAAGUGUGUAAACGCGCACAACGAUGGUAUCAGGAUACACAUAUUUGCGCCGCGAUGAGAUUGAGACUCAGAGAACAGGGUAGAAAGUCGGAGCAUAAAAUGAGAGAAGAAUACAAAGAAGAGAAGAGCAUAAAACAGAGAACGCAAAUAGAGAAACACCCUGAAAGCCUGAUUAGUAGCCUAUUAUCAAUAUUGUGGACGUACGAAUGUGUGCCCAGAUAUAUUCGAGAUACAACUCCAUUUCCAUCGGGAUAUAUAUUGCAUAUACCUUUUUUUAAUAUAAAAUGCAUAAAGUAAGAAAACGAAUUACGUUGUGUUAUUUUUUAAUGUUUAUUAGACAUCAAAAAGCAAUCCUAUUCUUUACGACGUGCAAUAAAAAAAAGCAUGGGUCUCACAAUCCUUUCUCCGAUAAAUAAGCGCAAUACAAAAAAGAUUAGUUUUACUGGAUCGACCUCACCUAGACAUCUGUGUGGCAAUCUCAUUGAAAGAUAAUAGCAUCACGCUGCGAGUACGUGUAUACGAGUGUAUUACCAACCUGGGACGCGAAAUUGAGAGAAAAUAAGAUCGAUCACUGCCUUGAUAAAGAAAGAAGUCUAUCCGCGAACCUUUGAGAUUGUGCUUCGUAGAAUGAUAAAGCUUUAACGAUGAUUCCACAUAAUACCCCCCUCAGAACCCCAAGGUUCUGUGAUUCCGCGGGCAGUAAAUGCUUCCUGUCAGAACGAAAUUGCACGACGAGAGGAGGUAUAGAAAUCUAUUGUGAACCUUACUUGUCGCUGUUCGCAGCUCGUAAAAAAAUUCCGUUGGACAAGCUCGAAAUGCUUUCGUAAGACCGUCCGUCUCCUGCAAGCUCUUCACUCGCGAUUCCCUUCUUUUAUUCCGUGACCAGAAUGCAAUUUCCACGAAACAGGCAAACGUAGCGAGUUUCGAAGAACCGGUACAAUGUCGACGUCCAGAUGUCGUCACGUCGUACCCUUUAAAGAAUGGAAUAGAAAAGUGCGCAAAGUAUACGCGCGUGUACCUGGUACGAGACAGUUUCUUGGUCUCCGCACAGAUAUCUGAACAAAUACGUACACUAACAUCAAGAACGAUGCAAAUUCAAGUAGGGGAGACCGGUGUCAAUUGUAACAGGUGUCAAAUGUAACAGAGCUUAUUUUAGAGCCACCUUAUAUAAAAACACGAAGUAGCCUUCAUUAAGUAAUAAGAGACAACUUUUCGCAUUACCGUCCCGAAUGUGGUCAUCGUAACGUUCUUGUUGUCCACGUUAUCCCCAAAUUUACGGAAAUUGCGACCAAAAGUAAAUAUUCUCUCACAAAUCUUUUUUGGUGCACAACUUAGGUUACUGUAUUUAUUCAAAAUUCGAUAACAGCCCAUUAUUAUAUGUUGCCUGAACUAUCUUAUUGUGUAGGUUAGAUAUUUUAGGUAAAGAAACAUAUAAGAAAAUAACAGGAUAAUUUCGGAAAUGGCAUAGAGGUGUCGUUUGUAACAUCCUGGGAUGUUACAAUUGACAUCUAUACAUUUACUUCGUAUGUUUUAAUAUACAUUUUUUGGUAAUUAUUUAGCUACCGGGUGAAAAAUGGUGAAACCAAGACCAAGAAAAACCGAAAGGGGAAUAAUCUGCCAAACAUCUCAGCUGCACUGAUAAAAAUGUUUCUUUUAUAUGUAUUAAUUGUUUCUCUGAUUAAUAUUUUUGUUUAUGUUUCACUUGGUUUUUAGAAUUUCGUUUUGUUUGGUUCUUAUUGCUUUACUUCUCGUUUCAUUAUUUCAAUGUUUACUCGAUAUUAUUUAUAAUAAAAGUAUUUGUUACAAUUGACACCAGCCCUGUUACAAUUGACACCAGAGAGGUGUCGAUAGUAACGCUCGUCGCACUAUGAUAAAAAUGGAAUAUAUUUCGAGACGAUUCCCGAUAGCUAUAUUAUAAAAAUCUGAUAAGUAGCACCAAACUUGAAGGUUUGUUCCAAACAAAUGUGAAACAAAAAUUGCGAACGGUUUACUGAAAAAAAAA